AACGCACAUUGCGCUUCCUGGUAUUCCGGGGAGCAUGCCCGUUUCAGAAUCAAUAAAACCCUCACCAAGCUCAUUGCUUUAGGGCAUUGGGUGUAGGUGGAUCUGGAUUUUUGCGUCUGCAAUCAUCUUAAACUCAUUGUGUGUGCACCAAUCGAUGUAUCUUUUGGUUGUCCAAGUGCAGCAGAUUUAUCUAUUUCGCUUUGGCAGUUGACUGAUGCUCUUGAUGUGCAGACUUCAUUUUUAUACGGGAUUCAAAUCGGUAUGAUUUGGGUAUCUGAUAACUUGAUCUGAAAUCGGGCAAGAAAACCCGCUGAACUUAA
rnacentral:misc_RNA from 1 species